rnacentral:rRNA from 1 species
UACGUAGGGUGCAAGCGUUAAUCGGAAUUACUGGGCGUAAAGCGUGCGCAGGCGGUUGUGCAAGGCCGAUGUGAAAUCCCGGGGCUUAACCUGGGAAUGGCAUUGGUGACUGCACGGCUAGAGUGUGUCAGAGGGGGGUAGAAUUCCACGUGUAGCAGUGAAAUGCGUAGAGAUGUGGAGGAAUACCGAUGGCGAAGGCAGCCCCCUGGGAUAACACUGACGCUCAUGCACGAAAGCGUGGGGAGCAAACAGG